UCAUUCGGGUCAUCAACUGUGCUACGGAGAAGUUAGCUAAGAGCUUUGCUGGCCAUGGUGACUCAAUAAAUGAGAUAAGGACUCAAGCGUUGAAGCCUUCGCUCAUCAUUUCUGCAAGCAAGGAUGAAUCUGUUAGGCUAUGGAAUGUCCAUACAGGGAUCUGCAUCUUGGUAUUUGCUGGAGCUUGAGGUCAUCGCAAUGAAGUGUUGAGUGUUGACUUCCACCCUAGUGAUAUUGAGCGUUUUGCAAGUUGUGGCAUGGACAACACUGUGAAAAUCUGGUCAAUGAAAGAAUUUUGGCAAUAUGUUGACAAAUCAUAUUCCUGGACUGACCUUCCAUCAAAGUUUCCAACAAAAUAUGUCCAGUUUCCGG